rnacentral:rRNA from 1 species
CCCUACGGGAGGCAGCAGUCGAGAAUUUUUGACAAUGGGGGAAACCCUGAUCGAGCGACGCCGCGUGGAGGAUGAAGGUCUUCGGAUUGUAAACUCCUGUCAUUGGGGAACAAGGUGCAGACGUUAACUGCGUGUGCAUUGAUAGUACCCGAAGAGGAAGAGACGGCUAACUCUGUGCCAGCAGCCGCGGUAAUACAGAGGUCUCAAGCGUUGUUCGGAUUCAUUGGGCGUAAAGGGUGCGUAGGCGGCGCGGUAAGUCGGGUGUGAAAUCUCGGGGCUUAACUCCGAAACUGCAUUCGAUACUGCCGUGCUUGAGGACUGGAGAGGAGACUGGAAUUUACGGUGUAGCGGUGAAAUGCGUAGAUAUCGUAAGGAAGACCAGUGGCGAAGGCGGGUCUCUGGACAGUUCCUGACGCUGAGGCACGAAGGUCAGGGGAGCAAACGGGAUUAGAUACCCUGGUAGC